UCGUCACACUAUCAUUAACUGAAUCCAUAGGUUAAUGAGGCGAACCGGGGGAACUGAAACAUCUAAGUACCCCGAGGAAAAGAAAUCAACCGAGAUUCCCCCAGUAGCGGCGAGCGAACGGGGAGGAGCCCAGAGCCUGAAUCAGCAUGUGUGUUAGUGGAAGCGUCUGGAAAGGCGCGCGAUACAGGGUGACAGCCCCGUACACAAAAGCGCAUGUGCUGUGAGCUCGAUGAGUAGGGCGGGACACGUGAUAUCCUGUCUGAAUAUGGGGGGACCAUCCUCCAAGGCUAAAUACUCCUGACUGACCGAUAGUGAACCAGUACCGUGAGGGAAAGGCGAAAAGAACCCCGGCGAGGGGAGUGAAAAAGAACCUGAAACCGUGUACGUACAAGCAGUGGGAGCACCCUUCGGGGUGUGACUGCGUACCUUUUGUAUAAUGGGUCAGCGACUUAUAUUCUGUAGCAAGGUUAACCGUAUAGGGGAGCCGAAGGGAAACCGAGUCUUAACCGGGCGUUAAGUUGCAGGGUAUAGACCCGAAACCCGGUGAUCUAGCCAUGGGCAGGUUGAAGGUUGGGUAACACUAACUGGAGGACCGAACCGACUAAUGUUGAAAAAUUAGCGGAUGACCUGUGGCUGGGGGUGAAAGGCCAAUCAAACCGGGAGAUAGCUGGUUCUCCCCGAAAGCUAUUUAGGUAGCGCCUCGUGAAUUCAUCUCCGGGGGUAGAGCACUGUUUCGGCUAGGGGGCCAUCCCGGCUUACCAACCCGAUGCAAACUGCGAAUACCGGAGAAUGUUAUCACGGGAGACACACGGCGGGUGCUAACGUCCGUCGUGAAGAGGGAAACAACCCAGACCGCCAGCUAAGGUCCCAAAGUCAUGGUUAAGUGGGAAACGAUGUGGGAAGGCCCAGACAGCCAGGAUGUUGGCUUAGAAGCAGCCAUCAUUUAAAGAAAGCGUAAUAGCUCACUGGUCGAGUCGGCCUGCGCGGAAGAUGUAACGGGGCUAAACCAUGCACCGAAGCUGCGGCAGCGACACUGUGUGUUGUUGGGUAGGGGAGCGUUCUGUAAGCCUGUGAAGGUGUGUCGUGAGGCAUGCUGGAGGUAUCAGAAGUGCGAAUGCU
rnacentral:rRNA from 1 species